rnacentral:misc_RNA from 1 species
GUGAAUUUUCGUAAAGGGGUUGUGCUGGCUCUCGCAAGUGCACGCCUCGAUACACUCACACCUGUGCACCUGUUUGACGGAAGCUCCUUUCUUUGUUGAAGGGGGUGGAUGUCCUUUACACACACGCAUAGUCAUAUUGAGAUUGGUGAUAUUUGACAAAUGUAAUGA